GCGCCAUUCGUAUAAUGGUAUUACUCCAGCCUUCCAAGCUGAUAACGUGGGUUCGAUUCCCAUAUGGCGCU
rnacentral:tRNA from 1 species